AUCAAAGAGCACUAUAAUUACACGGGAAAGCUAAAUGAGAAUGCAGACAGUGGAAUAAAAGUCACGUCGGUGGUUUUUAUCAUAAUUUGCUGCUUUAUAAUCUUAGAGAACAUUUUUGUCUUGCUCACCAUCUGGAAAACCAAGAAAUUUCACAGACCGAUGUACUAUUUCAUUGGGAACCUGGCUCUUUCAGACUUGUUGGCUGGCGUGGCUUACACUGCCAACCUCCUGCUCUCCGGACACAAAACUUACAGCCUUACCCCUUCCCAGUGGUUCGUAAGGGAGGGCAGCAUGUUUGUUGCCUUGUCAGCUUCUGUGUUCAGCUUGUUGGCCAUCGCCAUUGAGAGAUACAUCACCAUGCUGAAGAUGAAGCUCCACAAUGGCAGCAACAGCUUCCGCUCUUUCCUGCUGAUCAGUGCCUGCUGGGUUAUCUCUGUGAUACUCGGGGGACUCCCGAUCAUGGGCUGGAACUGCAUCAGCCUCUUGUCAAACUGCUCCACGGUGCUGCCGCUCUACCACAAGCACUAUAUUCUGUUUUGCACCACAGUUUUCACCGGCCUGUUGCUAUCUAUUGUUGUCCUCUAUUGCAGGAUCUACUCCAUGGUGAGGACUAGGAGCCCUACCAGGAGCUCAGAAAAGUCACUAGCCUUGCUCAAGACAGUGAUCAUAGUCCUGAGUGCCUUCAUUGCUUGCUGGGCUCCCUUGUUCAUCCUGCUUUUACUGGAUGUGGGCUGUAGAGUGAAGACAUGCCCGAUCCUAUAUAAAGCAGAGUAUUUCUUAGUGCUGGCCGUGCUCAAUUCAGCCACGAACCCUAUCAUCUACACCUUAACAAACAAAGAAAUGCGGAGGGCUUUCAUCAAGAUUCUGUGCUGC
rnacentral:lncRNA from 1 species